AUUGAACGCUGGCGGCAGGCCUAACACAUGCAAGUCGAACGAGUGGCGGACGGGUGAGUAAUGUCUGGGAAACUGCCCGAUGGAGGGGGAUAACUACUGGAAACGGUAGCUAAUACCGCAUACCAUCGGAUGUGCCCAGAUGGGAUUAGCUAGGAGGUGGGGUAACGGCUCACCUAGGCGACGAUCGCUAACUGGUCUGAGAGGUUGCCCAGCCACACUGGAACAGAGACACGUUCCGGAAGCCUACGGGAGACCGCAGUGGGGAAUAUUGCACAGUUGGCGAAAGCCUGAUGCAGCCAUGCCGCGUGUAUGAAGAGGGCCUUCGAGUGUUAAAGUACUUUCAGCGGGGAGGCGUUACCCGCAGAGGAAGCAGCGGCUAGCUCGGUGCCAGCAGCCGCGGUAAUUC
rnacentral:rRNA from 1 species